rnacentral:rRNA from 1 species
GACGAACGCUGGCGGCGUGCCUAAUACAUGCAAGUAGAACGCUGAAGGAGGGAGCUUGCUCUUUCUGGAUGAGUUGCGGACGGGUGAGUAACGCGUAGGUAACCUGCCUGGUAGCGGGGGAUAACUAUUGGAAACGAUAGCUAAUACCGCAUAAAAUUGAUUAUUGCAUGAUAGUCAAUUAAAAGGUGCAACUGCACCACUACCAGAUGGACCUGCGUUGUAUUAGCUAGUUGGUGGGGUAACGGCUCACCAAGGCGACGAUACAUAGCCGACCUGAGAGGGUGAUCGGCCACACUGGGACUGAGACACGGCCCAGACUCCUACGGGAGGCAGCAGUAGGGAAUCUUCGGCAAUGGACGGAAGUCUGACCGAGCAACGCCGCGUGAGUGAAGAAGGUUUUCGGAUCGUAAAGCUCUGUUGUAAGAGAAGAACGAGUGUGAGAGUGGAAAGUUCACACUGUGACGGUAUCUUACCAGAAAGGGACGGCUAACUACGUG